rnacentral:lncRNA from 1 species
GCCAAUUUCAGAAAGAGAUUUUUGCCAAGAUCCUCUGUGCAUCUAAGGUUUAAAUUGAUUUGACGUCUGUUUGAGGCUAGUUGAUGUGACUUAUCAACUAUAUGUCAACUCUACUCGGGAGAAACAAACUACCCACCAAACGCGGCUGAUUGACGCCUAUGAGCAGACGCCUCAUACCGUCAAAUGCAUACACGUGUCCCACAUCCAACAGUUCAUCCCACCUAUAAAUACUCAAGAUUUGGCAAGAGGCAAAGGUAAUGAAACUCUUACUACAUAGCACUCCACAGCAAGUUUAUAUAUUUUCUCCUCUUCCUUAUUAUUAUUUUG